rnacentral:rRNA from 1 species
UACAGAGGGGGCAAGCGUUAUUCGGAAUUAUUGGGCGUAAAGGGCGCGUAGGCGGCCUUGCAAGUGACGGGUGAAACCCCUCGGCUUAACCGAGGAACUGCCUGUCAGACUGUUUGGCUUGAGACCGGGAGAGGUGAGUGGAAUUCCCAGUGUAGCGGUGAAAUGCGUAGAUAUUGGGAGGAACACCGAUGGCGAAGGCAGCCCCCUGGGCCAACACUGACGCUCAGGCACGAAAGCGUGGGGAGCAAACGAGG